rnacentral:rRNA from 1 species
UCAUUACCGAGUUUACAACUCCCAAACCCCUGU